AUGGCAGCUUAGGGAGCUGGUGACCCUCUGGACGCUAAGUGUGUAGAGGACCUGUUCGUUCACUGUUAUCAACCCAACUCAGGAGAAGCUGACACCUGUGCAAGUGCAAUUCAUGCAGCAGGUGCAGCUUGCCCAGUGGCAGAAGGCCCUACCACAGAAGUGGACCUGGAACAUCAUGACCAGCCUAGGCAUCGGGGCCCUGGUAUUAGCUAUUUAUGGAUACACCUUCUACCUGAUUUCCCAGGAGCGUUUCCUAGGUGAGCUAGAAGACAAUGCCAAAGCUGCCUGAGCCCAAGCUCUGUAGAGGGCAUCAGGAUCCUAAUCUGGAUGAGCACAGGACAUCUCCAACCUGCUGGUGCCCCUUCAUGUGGUGAAUGAUGCCCCAUGAUCCUGUAGAAAUUGAAUCCUGCUCACAACAUUGUUGGCCUUCCUAUUAACCUUAGACCAUGACUGAGCCCAAGAAACUAGAGACUUAUCCAUUUGGCCACUGUCAAAAGAACAGAAGUUUGCCCAUCUCACACUUGCUGUGUACAGUGACUGAGCCCUCAUAGUUUGUUUCCUUGUUUGAGAGGUGUGCAUGUGACCUUGGGUUUUCCCAAAGUUUCUGACUUUGUGUUUUAGCCCCUUCACCUUUCCAGGGAUGCAACUGUUAUGGGAUUAAGCGUGGUAGCUCUGUGCAGUGUUAGAGCCUAAAGUAGAAUAGAGUCAAGUUGAAAAUAAUAAACUGAAUCAUCUCUCCUGGAAAAAAAAAAAAAAA